UGGCUGAUUAAUGAUUGAGAAUCGUUCAAGGACUUAAUCAUCAAUUUGAUUGAUGAUUAAUCUUAUGCAAAAGUUGUAAUAAAUUAAUUCAUCAAGUAUUAGUAAAUUAAUAGAAGAUUCAUUAGCAAUUAGAUUGUUAAUUAGCUCAAUUUGAUUGAGCAAAGAAGAUUAAAUAAAAUCUAAUUGAAUUAGAUUCAAUUAGAUUUGAUCCGAUUAGGUUAUGAGACGACCUAAUCGCUAAGGGAAAAUUGUCCCUAUUUGAUCAGGACUUUGGUUCAAUCAAUUUUUAAUUUGAUUAAAAUUUGAUUC
rnacentral:lncRNA from 1 species